CGGUUGAUCCUGCCGGACCUGACUGCUAUCGGAUUGGUACUAAGCCAUGCGAGUCGUUGUAGCAAUACAAGGCGGACGGCUCAGUAACACGUAGUCAACCUAACCUAUGGACGUGGAUAACCUCGGGAAACUGAGAAUAAACCGCGAUAGAUCAUUAUGCCUGGAAUGGCUUAUGGUUCAAACAAUUUAUUGCCGUAGGAUGGGACUGCGGCCUAUCAGCUUGUUGGUGAGGUAAUGGCCCACCAAGGCUAUAACAGGUACGGGCUCUGAGAGGAGAAGCCCGGAGAUGGGUACUGAGACACGGACCCAGGCCCUAUGGGGCGCAGCAGGCGAGAAACCUUAGCAAUGUGCGAAAGCACGACUAGGUUAAUCCGAGUGAUUUCUGUUGAAGAAAUCUUUUGUCAGUUGUAAAACCACAGACGAAUAAGGGGUGGGCAAGUCUGGUGUCAGCCGCCGCGGUAAUACCAGCACCUCGAGUGGUCAGGAGGUUUAUUGGGCCUAAAGCAUCCGUAGCCGGCUUUGCAAGUCUCCGGUUAAAUCCAGCUGCUCAACAGAUGGGCUGCCGGAGAUACUACAAAGCUAGGGAGCGGGAGAGGUAGACGGUAUUCGGUGGGUAGGGGUAAAAUCCACUGAUCCAUCGAGGACCACCAGUGGCGAAGGCGGUCUACCAGAACGCGUUCGACGGUGAGGGAUGAAAGCUGGGGGAGCAAACCGGAUUAGAUACCCGGGUAGUCCCAGCUGUAAACGAUGCAAACCCGGUGAUGCAUUGACUUAUGGCCAAUGCAGUGCCGCAGGGAAGCCGUUAAGUUUGCCGCCUGGGAAGUACGGACGCAAGUCUGAAACUUAAAGGAAUUGGCGGGGGAGCACCACAAGGGGUGAAGCCUGCGGUUCAAUUGGAUUCAACGCCGGA
rnacentral:rRNA from 1 species